rnacentral:rRNA from 1 species
GACGAACGCUGGCGGCGUGCUUAACACAUGCAAGUCGAACGGAAAGGCCCUGCUUUUGUGGGGUGCUCGAGUGGCGAACGGGUGAGUAACACGUGAGUAACCUGCCCUUGACUUUGGGAUAACUUCAGGAAACUGGGGCUAAUACCGGAUAGGAGCUCCUGCUGCAUGGUGGGGGUUGGAAAGUUUCGGCGGUUGGGGAUGGACUCGCGGCUUAUCAGCUUGUUGGUGGGGUAGUGGCUUACCAAGGCUUUGACGGGUAGCCGGCCUGAGAGGGUGACCGGCCACAUUGGGACUGAGAUACGGCCCAGACUCCUACGGGAGGCAGCAGUGGGGAAUAUUGCACAAUGGGCGGAAGCCUGAUGCAGCAACGCCGCGUGCGGGAUGACGGCCUUCGGGUUGUAAACCGCUUUCGCCUGUGACGAAGCGUGAGUGACGGUAAGGGGUAAAGAAGCACCGGCUAACUAC